GUGGGGAAUAUUGGACAAUGGGCGCAAGCCUGAUCCAGCCAUGCCGCGUGAGUGAUGAAGGCCUUAGGGUUGUAAAGCUCUUUCAGUAGGGAAGAUAAUGACGGUACCUACAGAAGAAGCCCCGGCUAACUUCGUGCCAGCAGCCGCGGUAAUACGAAGGGGGCUAGCGUUGUUCGGAUUUACUGGGCGUAAAGCGCACGUAGGCGGAUUGGUCAGUUAGAGGUGAAAUCCCGAAGCUCAACUUCGGAACUGCCUUUAAUACUGCCAGUCUUGAGUCCGGAAGAGGUGAGUGGAACUCCUAGUGUAGAGGUGGAAUUCGUAGAUAUUAGGAAGAACACCAGUGGCGAAGGCGGCUCACUGGUCCGGUACUGACGCUGAGGUGCGAAAGCGUGGGGAGCAAACAGGAUUAGAUACCCGGGUAGUCC
rnacentral:rRNA from 1 species